AAAGGGAGAAGGCAUGCUAUAAAGGAGAGACCUCCUAGUUUCAUGGACAGAAGAUCACAAGAUAAGUCUGAAAAAACAGAGAGGAGAGGGCCAUUUCAUCUUGAUUUUUCAGAGCUGUAACUAUGCAACUGGAUGACUGGGAAAGCUUCACAAAA
rnacentral:lncRNA from 1 species